UCCAAAUAUAUGCGUUUUGCC
rnacentral:siRNA from 1 species